UAGAUUGGCCACGGCGAUGCCUACGGAAUGGCCAUCGCCCACGAAGUGGCUGCGGGCAUGGGCGGAAUUCGUACCGCCGGAGAUCUGGUGGCACGUGUCC
rfam:Thermacetogenium phaeum DSM 12270, complete genome.